rnacentral:sRNA from 1 species
CCCUAGCCCCGAUUGAAACGAAAAUCCUUGUUGUCUUUUGUUUAAAAACAACAAGAUUGCAGUGCAAAGCGGGAAAUAGC